GGUGUGGAUAGGGGAGAAAUUCCAAUCGAACCCGGAGAUAGCUGGUUCUCCUCGAAAUAGCUUUAGGGCUAGCCUCGUAUUAGUCUGGUGGAGGUAGAGCACUGAAUUUCCUAGGGGGCGUCAAAGCCUACCGAAGAAUAUCAAACUCCGAAUGCCAUACAGAUGAUGUACGGGAGUCAGACGGCACGAGAUAAGUUGGGUCGUCAAAAGGGAAAGAGCCCAGACCUGCAGCUAAGGUCCCAAAGUGUGUGUUAAGUGGAAAAGGAUGUGGGAUUUCAAAGACAACUAGGAUGUUGGCUCAGAAGCAGCCACACAUUCAAAGAGUGCGUAAUAGCUCACUAGUCGAGAGGUCCUGCGCCGAAAAUGUCCGGGGCUGAAACACAACACCGAAGCUCAGGAAUGUAUUUAUACAUUGGUAGAGGAGCAUUCUUAAAGGGGCGAAGCAGUACCGAUAAGGAGCUGUGGACUUUUAAGAAGAGAGAAUGCCGGAAUGAGUAGCGAGAUGGAGGUGGGAAUCCUCCAGGCCGAAUAUCUAAGGUUUCCAGGGUAAAGCUGAUCUGCCCUGGGUAAGUCGGGGCCUAAGGCAAGGCUGAGAAGCGUAGCUGAUGGACAACAGGUUUAGAUUCCUGUACCACAUGGUAUCAGAACUGUGGGGACGCAGAGGGAUAAGAUGACCGGGGAACAGAACUCCGGGCAAGCGUAGGAGGUGUCAGGCAGGCAAAUCCGCCUGAUAAGCCAAAGACGUGACGCGGACCGAACUCAAGUAGGGAAGCAUCCGAUUCCAGCUGCCGAGAAAAGCCGCUAUUGUGUACCAUGUGCCCGUACCGUAAACCGACACAGGUGGAUGAGGAGAGAAUCCUAAGGCCGGCGGGAGAAGCAUUGUUAAGGAACUCGGCAAAAUGACCCCGUAACUUCGGGAUAAGGGGUGCCAGAGAGAUCUGGCCGCAGAGAAUAGGCUCAAGCAACUGUUUAGCAAAAACACAGGUCUAUGCGAAACCGUAAGGUGAUGUAUAUGGGCUGACGCCUGCCCGGUGCUGGAAGGUUAAGAGGAGAGGUUAGAGCAAUCGAAGCUUUGAAUUGAAGCCCCAGUAAACGGCGGCCGUAACUAUAACGGUCCUAAGGUAGCGAAAUUCCUUGUCGGGUAAGUUC
rnacentral:rRNA from 1 species